rnacentral:rRNA from 1 species
UACUCCUACGGGAGGCAGCAGUGGGGAAUAUUGGACAAUGGGCGAAAGCCUGAUCCAGCCAUGCCGCGUGUGUGAAGAAGGUCUUCGGAUUGUAAAGCACUUUAAGUUGGGAGGAAGGGCAGUAAGUUAAUACCUUGCUGUUUUGACGUUACCAACAGAAUAAGCACCGGCUAACUUCGUGCCAGCAGCCGCGGUAAUACGAAGGGUGCAAGCGUUAAUCGGAAUUACUGGGCGUAAAGCGCGCGUAGGUGGUUCAGCAAGUUGGAUGUGAAAUCCCCGGGCUCAACCUGGGAACUGCAUCCAAAACUACUGAGCUAGAGUACGGUAGAGGGUGGUGGAAUUUCCUGUGUAGCGGUGAAAUGCGUAGAUAUAGGAAGGAACACCAGUGGCGAAGGCGACCACCUGGACUGAUAA